CCUUUUGUAUAAUGGGUCAGCGACUUAUAUUCUGUAGCAAGGUUAACCGAAUAGGGGAGCCGAAGGGAAACCGAGUCUUAACUGGGCGUUAAGUUGCAGGGUAUAGACCCGAAACCCGGUGAUCUAGCCAUGGGCAGGUUGAAGGUUGGGUAACACUAACUGGAGGACCGAACCGACUAAUGUUGAAAAAUUAGCGGAUGACUUGUGGCUGGGGGUGAAAGGCCAAUCAAACCGGGAGAUAGCUGGUUCUCCCCGAAAGCUAUUUAGGUAGCGCCUCGUGAAUUCAUCUCCGGGGGUAGAGCACUGUUUCGGCAAGGGGGUCAUCCCGACUUACCAACCCGAUGCAAACUGCGAAUACCGGAGAAUGUUAUCACGGGAGACACACGGCGGGUGCUAACGUCCGUCGUGAAGAGGGAAACAACCCAGACCGCCAGCUAAGGUCCCAAAGUCAUGGUUAAGUGGGAAACGAUGUGGGAAGGCCCAGACAGCCAGGAUGUUGGCUUAGAAGCAGCCAUCAUUUAAAGAAAGCGUAAUAGCUCACUGGUCGAGUCGGCCUGCGCGGAAGAUGUAACGGGGCUAAACCAUGCACCGAAGCUGCGGCAGCGACGCUGAUGCGUUGUUGGGUAGGGGAGCGUUCUGUAAGCCUGCGAAGGUGUGCUGUGAGGCAUGCUGGAGGUAUCAGAAGUGCGAAUGCUGACAUAAGUAACGAUAAAGCGGGUGAAAAGCCCGCUCGCCGGAAGACCAAGGGUUCCUGUCCAACGUUAAUCGGGGCAGGGUGAGUCGACCCCUAAGGCGAGGCCGAAAGGCGUAGUCGAUGGGAAACAGGUUAAUAUUCCUGUACUUGGUGUUACUGCGAAGGGGGGACGGAGAAGGCUAUGUUGGCCGGGCGACGGUUGUCCCGGUUUAAGCGUGUAGGCUGGUUUUCCAGGCAAAUCC
rnacentral:rRNA from 1 species